AACAUUGCUUUUAUCUUUUUUAUUACAAGAGAAAUAGAAAAGAUAAAAGCAUUGUUGGCAUCAUAUAAGCUUAUCACAGCACGAAAGCACCACAGACACACAACAACAACAACAACAACAACAACAACAACAAAACAAUAUGAAAACUAGAGAGAGAAAGAAUAUGAGAUAAUAUAAUCAGUCUGGUUCGACCAGAAAGAAAACACCAGCAGCACUGAGAACAGAGUCAGCAGCUCCACAAUCACAGAGCGUCUAUAAACAAUGUACAGAGGGUCCAUGAAGGCGUCAUGGAGAGUUUAUAAAACUCCAUACAAAGUCAGGUGGGCACUGUAUGUCUGAAUGAGACAGAUAUUAUAACCAAGACAAGACAGACACACGUCAAAUACUUCAUCUCGCCGUCACCAAACCUGCCUGUAGGGCAAGUCAAAAUACU